GAACAGGAUCUGCACACGUGUUCACAUUUUCCAUCUGUUGCCCUCAUUGUUUUCGUUACUAGUAAUAACUUUGGAAAUGUGUGCGUUUCUAUCAAAUGGCGCAGCGGUCAAUGGCACUGCAUCUCAGUGCUACAUCUCCAGGCUGUAUCACAACUGGCUGUGAUUGGGAGUCCCAUAGGGCAGCGCACAAUUGGCCCAGUGUUGUCCGAGUUUGGCCGGUGUAGGCCAUCAUAGAAAACACAAACACUAUUUGCCAAUAUCAUAACUGGAACUGGACAUCUUUCCAGCUGAAGAUUGAGGACAGCUUUUGUAUGCUAACGUUCUCUCCUUAACAGUUUUACUGGAUGAAAACACAGCAAGAAAACACAUAGGCCAAUAUGUAAUAGUCGUCUAUUUUUGUACUUCAUCCACUGUCGGUCUGCCUCCAUCACCACCAGCAUCUUCAAAGGGACCUGGUACUUGGUCAGUGGACAAGGGGUCCUCAGAUUCAGGGUUCUCAAUGGCUACAAGGUUGGGGGGCAGCUCCUCACUGUCACUGUCAGAAUCUGAUUCCUGACUUUCAUACUCAGAC
rnacentral:lncRNA from 1 species